GGGUCAGUAGGUUGGUCGUGCCCCGGUACGUACUGGUCUCACUGAUUCCUCCUUCCUGAAGAACCGUAAUGCCAUUAAUUUGGUGUUGCGGGGAAACAGGACUGUUACUUUGAAAAAAUUAGAGUGUUUAAAGCAAGCUAACGCUUGAAUACAUUAGCAUGGAAUAAUGAAAUAGGACGAUCGAUCCUAUUUUGUUGGUUUCUAGGAUUGACGUA
rnacentral:rRNA from 1 species